ensembl:rRNA 5S_rRNA 5S ribosomal RNA
UCUGAUCCAUACUACCCUGAAUAUACCCAUCUAGUCUGAUAUUGGAAGCUAAGUAGGGUUGGGACAACUUAGUACUUAGAUGGGAGAAAACAAGUUUAAAAUUGGUC